AGCACCACAACAGGUGGAGCCUGCGGUUUAAUCGGACUCAACGCCGGGAAGCUCACCGGAUAAGACAGCGGAAUGAUAGUCGGGCUGAAGACUCUACUUGACUAGCUGAGAGGAGGUGCAUGGCCGUCGUCAGUUCGUACUGUGAAGCAUCCUGUUAAGUCAGGCAACGAGCGAGACCCACGCCAACAGUUGCCAGCUCGUCCUCCGGGAUGGUGGGGACACUGUUGGGACCGCCUCUGCUAAAGAGGAGGAAGGAAUGGGCAACGGUAGGUCAGCAUGCCCCGAAUUAUCUGGGCUACACGCGGGCUACAAUGGGUGGGACAAUGGGUAUCGACACCGAAAGGUGAAGGCAAUCUCCUAAACCCAUCCGUAGUUCGGAUUGUGGGCCGCAACUCGCCCACAUGAAGCUGGAAUCUGUAGUAAUCGUGUCUCAAAAUGGCACGGUGAAUAUGUCCCUGCUCCUU
rnacentral:rRNA from 1 species